UUUGAGAGUUUGAUCCUGGCUCAGGAUGAACGCUGGCGGCGUGCCUUAGGCAUGCAAGUCAAGGGGGUCCGCCAUCUGGCGGACAACCGGCAGACGGGUGAGUAACGCGUGGGAAUCUACCCCUGGGUGGAGCAUAGCCCUCCGAAAGGAGGGGUAAUUCUCCAUAAUCUCGAAAGAGCAAAGGUCUUAACUGGCCACCGAGGGAGGAGCCUGCGUCCUAUCAGCUUGUUGGUGGGGUAAAAGCCUACCAAGGCUAUGACGGGUAGCUGGACUGAGAGGUCGAUCAGCCACAACUGCACUGAAACACGGGCAGUACACCUACGGGUGGCAGCAACCGGGAAUAUUGGACAAUGGACGAAAGUCUGAUCCAGCGACGCCGCGUGGAGGAAGAAGGCCUAUGGGUUGUAAACUCCUUUUGCUAAGCCGUUCACAGCUUAGAGAAUAAGCCCCUACUAACUACGUGGUUUCUAACGGGGCCAGAAGUCUCGGUAAUACGUAGGGGGCAAGCGUUAUCCGGAUUCAUUGGGCGUAAAGUGUGCGUAGGCUUCUUGAAAAGUCGUAUCUUAAAGGCUGAGGCUUAACCUCGGACAUCGAUACGAUACUUUCAAGAUUAGAGGGUUGACAGGGAUGCUGGAACAGUUAGUGUAGCAGUGAAAUGCGUUGAUAUUAACUGGAACACCAAAGGCGAAGGCAAGCAUCUGGGUUUUCCCUGACGCUGAGGCACGAAAGCUAGGGUAGCGAAACAGAUUAGAGACCUGUGUAGUCCUAGCCGUAAACGAUGUCCGCUAGCUAUAGCCCGCAAGGGCUGUGGCGUAAGCUAACGCGUUAAGCGGACCGCCUGGGGAGUACGGUCGCAAGACUAAAACUCAAAGGAAUUGACGGGGACCCGCACAACCGGUGGAGCGUGUGGUUCAAUUCGAGACAAAACGAAGAACCUCACCAGGGUUUGACAUAGUACCGUUUAUUUCCCAAGAAACUGGGAGAAAUCCGUAAGGAUGGUAUUACAGGUGCUGCAUGGCUGUCGUCAGCUCGUGCCGUGAGGUGUUCCCUUAAGUGGGGAAACGAGCGCAACCCGCGCCAAAUGUUAAAUUUUUCAUUUGGGACUGUCCCAGUUUUACUGGGGAGGAAGGAGCGGAAGACGUCAAGUCAGCAUGGUCCUUAUACCCUGGGCCACACACACACUACAAUGGCGAAAAACAGCGUGUUGCAAGCCGGCAACGGCAAGCUAAUCACUGAAAUUUCGCCCCAGUUCAGAUUGGGGGCUGAAACUCGCCCUCAUGAAGUCGGAAUCGGUAGUAAUCGCGGAUCAGCAUGCCGCGGUGAAUACGUUCUCGGGUCUUGUACACACCGCCCGUCAAGGCAGCAAAGUCGUGAGUAGACGAACUACGAUUUUUUCGUGGGAGUCUAAAUUCGGCGAUGAAGCUUAAGUCGUAACAAGGUAUCCCUAGCCGAAGCUGGGGAUGGAUCACCUCCUU
rnacentral:rRNA from 1 species